UGAAAUGCGAAAAGUAAUGUGAAUUGCAUGAAUCUGUGAAUCAUUAAGUAUUUGAACGCACAUGGCACUUGUCAACAUUGUUGAUGAGUAUACCUGUUUGAGAGUAUAAAGGUGUAGUAUGCUUUUGUAUAGAAGCGUGUAAUGUGGUGAAUCAGCGGGAUAUGUGUUCUGUUGAGCCAUGAAAUAAGAAAAGAGUUAACCACCGAAUAGUGUGAUAAGAGGGCGGAAUGUCCUUUUCACGAUUUGGUUUGAUAAGCUCUUUAUAAUGUGAACUUUAUAUAUGAACCUCAAAUCAGGCAAGAUUACCCGCUAAACUUAA
rnacentral:misc_RNA from 1 species